rnacentral:rRNA from 1 species
UACGUAGGGGGCUAGCGUUGUCCGGAAUCAUUGGGCGUAAAGCGCGUGUAGGCGGUUCGGUAAGUCCGCUGUGAAAGUCGGGGGCUCAACCCUCGAAUGCCGGUGGAUACUGUCGGACUAGAGUACGGAAGAGGCGAGUGGAAUUCCUGGUGUAGCGGUGAAAUGCGCAGAUAUCAGGAGGAACACCAAUUGCGAAGGCAGCUCGCUGGGACGUUACUGACGCUGAGGAGCGAAAGCCAGGGGAGCAAACGGG